CUUGUUCUUGCAGCUGGUGGGCGUUGUUUCCUUGUACAACAGUUGUGGUUUCUGACUCAUUCAGUCGGUUCCAGUUGCAGUCCAGAUUUAUAGUGUAGCUGCAGUUUUGCUUGAUGAUUCAGUAAAUUGUCAAAUUAUAAAAACUGGACUUUGCUUAAAUAUCUAAAAAUGACUGUGACUGAAAUUUCAGUGUGGGCAUUUAUCUCAUUAGCCUAGAUAGCUGGUUUAUUAUU